AUGCUGAAAAGAAAGAAGGCCAAGGGGAAGAAGGUAGCUCCAGACCCUGUUGUCGCGAAGAAGCAGGAGGCCAAGAAGGUGCUGAAUCCCGUCUGAGGAAAGGCCUAAGAAUUUUGGCAUUGACAGCACAUCCAGCCCAAAAGAGACCUCGCCUGCUUUCUGAAAGGGCCUCGCCAUAUCAGGUUGCAGCAGCAGAGAGCCAUCUUCUAUAAGCAGCUGAAAGUGCCUCCUGCAAUUAACCAGUUCACCCAGGCCCUGGACCGCCAAACGGCUACUCAGCUACUUAAGCUGGCCCACAAGUACAGACCAGAGACAAAGCAAGAGAAGAAGCAAAGGCUGUUGGCCCGGGCUGAGAAGAAAGCUGCUGGCGAAGGGGAUGUCCCCACUAAGAGACCACCUGUCUUUUGGGCAGGAGUUAACACUGUCACCACCUUGAUGGAGAACAAGAAAGCUCAGCUGGUGGUGAUUGCACAGGCUGUGGAUCCCAUCACGCUGGUUGUCUGCUUGCCUGCCCUGUGUCGUAAAAUGGGAGUCCCUUACUGCAUUAUCAAGGGGAAGGCAAGACUGGGACGUCUAGUCCACAGGAAGACCUGCGCCACUGUCGCCUUCACACAGGUUAACUCGGAAGACAGAGGUGCUUUGGCUAAGCUGGUGGAAGCUAUCAGGACAAAUUACAACGACAGAUACAAUGAGAUCCAUGGUCACUGGGGAGGCAAUGUCCUGGAUCCCAAGUUUGUGGCUCACAUCGCCAAGCUUCAAAAGGCAAAGGCUAAAGAACUUGCCACUAAACUGGGUUAAAUGUACACUGUUGAGUUUUCUGUACAUAAAAAUAAUUAAAACAAUA